rnacentral:rRNA from 1 species
CCAUUUUUCUCCUGGGCGUCGACGGGUAGCCGGCUGAGAGGGUGACGGUCAUCUGUGACUGAGACUCGGUCCAUUACUCCUACGGGAGGGAACAUCGGGGAAUAUUUGUCUUUGGGUGGAAGCCUGAUUCUUCGACCCCCCGUGAGGGAUGACGGCCUUCGGGUUGGAAACCUCUUUCAUCAUGGAAGAAGCGCAGGUGACGGUGCCUGCAGAAUAAAUGCGGCUAACUACUUGCCAUCAUUCGUUUUCAACGUAGGGGCUAGCGGUGCCUGAAUUAUUGUCUUAUAUAUUUCUUAACGCCUGUCUCGUCGGAUGUGAGACCCGGGGCUUUACCCCGGGUCUGUUUCUAUACGGGCAGGCUAUAGUGUGUUAUGGGAGAUCGGAAUUCCUGGUGUAGCGGUGAAUGGCAGAUAUCAGGAGGAACACCGGUGGCAAGGCGGAUCUCUGGGCCAUUACUGACGCUGAGGAGCUGAAGCGUGGGGAGCGAAUAGGAUUAGAUACCCUGGUAUCCACGCCGUACACGGUGGGAACUAGGUGUUGGCGACAUUCCACGUCUGCCGUGCCGCAGCUAACGCAUUAAUUCCCUGCGCCGGUGGGGGCCCGCGCGGG